rnacentral:rRNA from 1 species
AGUGAACGCUGGCGGUAGGCCUAACACAUGCAAGUCGAACGGCAGCACAGUAAGAGCUUGCUCUUACGGGUGGCGAGUGGCGGACGGGUGAGGAAUACAUCGGAAUCUACUUUUUCGUGGGGGAUAACGUAGGGAAACUUACGCUAAUACCGCAUACGACCUACGGGUGAAAGCAGGGGAUCUUCGGACCUUGCGCGAUUGAAUGAGCCGAUGUCGGAUUAGCUAGUUGGCGGGGUAAAGGCCCACCAAGGCGACGAUCCGUAGCUGGUCUGAGAGGAUGAGCAGCCACACUGGAACUGAGACACGGUCCAGACUCCUCCGGGAGGCAGCAGUGGGGAAUAUUGGACAAUGGGCGCAAGCCUGCUCCAGCCAUACCGCGUGGGUGAAGAAGGCCUUCGGGUUGUAAAGCCCUUUUGUUGGGAAAGAAAAGCAGCAGGUUAAUACCCCGCUGUUCUGACGGUACCCAAAGAAUAAGCACCGGCUAACUUCGUG